rnacentral:rRNA from 13 species
AACAACUCACCUGCCGAAUGAACUAGCCCUGAAAAUGGAUGGCGCUCAAGCGUGCUACCCAUACCUCGCCGUCAGGGUAGAAACGAUGCCCUGACGAGUAGGCAGGCGUGGAGGUCAGUGACGAAGCCUUGGGGGUGACCCCGGGUAGAACGGCCUCUAGUGCAGAUCUUGGUGGUAGUAGCAAAUACUCAAAUGAGAACUUUGAGGACUGAAGUGGGGAAAGGUUCCGUGUGAACAGCAGUUGGACACGGGUUAGUCGAUCCUAAGCCAUAGGGAAACUCCGUUUUAAAGUGCGCACUUGUGCGUCGCCCGGCGAAAGGGAAGCCGGUUAACAUUCCGGCACCUGGAUGUGGAUUCUCCACGGCAACGUAACUGAACGCGGAGACGUCGGCGGGGGUCCUGGGAAGAGUUCUCUUUUCUUCUUGACAGCCUAUCACCCUGAAAUCGGUUUGUCCGGAGCUAGGGUUUAAUGGCCGGUAGAGUCCCACACCUUUGUGGGAUCCGGUGCGCCCCCGACGUCCCUUGAAAAUUCGCUGGAAGGAAUAGUUUUCACGCCAGGUCGUACUCAUAACCGCAGCAGGUCUCCAAGGUGAAAAGCCUCUAGUUGAUAGAACAAUGUAGAUAAGGGAAGUCGGCAAAAU